rnacentral:rRNA from 1 species
CCUACGGGGUGCAGUAGUGAGGAAUAUUGGUCAAUGGACGAGAGUCUGAACCAGCCAAGUAGCGUGAAGGAUGACUGCCCUAUGGGUUGUAAACUUCUUUUAUAUGGGAAUAAAAUGUUCCACGUGUGGGAUUUUGUAUGUACCAUAUGAAUAAGGAUCGGCUAACUCCGUGCCAGCAGCCGCGGUAAUACGGAGGAUCCGAGCGUUAUCCGGAUUUAUUGGGUUUAAAGGGAGCGUAGGUGGAUUGUUAAGUCAGUUGUGAAAGUUUGCGGCUCAACCGUAAAAUUGCAGUUGAAACUGGCAGUCUUGAGUACAGUAGAGGUGGGCGGAAUUCGUGGUGUAGCGGUGAAAUGCUUAGAUAUCACGAAGAACUCCGAUUGCGAAGGCAGUUCACUGGACUGCAACUGACACUGAGGCUCGAAAGUGUGGGUAUCAAACAGGAUUAGAUACCCUGGUAGUC